rnacentral:rRNA from 1 species
GGUUAAGCGACUAAGCGUACACGGUGGAUGCCCUGGCAGUCAGAGGCGAUGAAGGACGUGCUAAUCUGCGAAAAGCGUCGGUAAGGUGAUAUGAACCGUUAUAACCGGCGAUGUCCGAAUGGGGAAACCCAGUGCAAUUCGUUGCACUAUCGUUAACUGAAUACAUAGGUUAACGAGGCGAACCGGGGGAACUGAAACAUCUAAGUACCCCGAGGAAAAGAAAUCAACCGAGAUUCCCCCAGUAGCGGCGAGCGAACGGGGAGCAGCCCAGAGUCUGAAUCAGCUUGUGUGUUAGUGGAACGGUCUGGAAAGUCCGACGGUACAGGGUGAUAGUCCCGUACACCAAAAUGCACAGGCUGUGAACUCGAAGAGUAGGGCGGGACACGUGGUAUCCUGUCUGAAUAUGGGGGGACCAUCCUCCAAGGCUAAAUACUCCUGACUGACCGAUAGUGAACCAGUACCGUGAGGGAAAGGCGAAAAGAACCCCGGCGAGGGGAGUGAAAAAGAACCUGAAACCGUGUACGUACAAGCAGUGGGAGCACCUUCGGGUGUGACUGCGUACCUUUUGUAUAAUGGGUCAGCGACUUAUAUUCUGUAGCAAGGUUAACCGUAUAGGGGAGCCGCAGGGAAACCGAGUCUUAACUGGGCGUUAAGUUGCAGGGUAUAGACCCGAAACCCGGUGAUCUAGCCAUGGGCAGGUUGAAGGUUGGGUAACACUAACUGGAGGACCGAACCGACUAAUGUUGAAAAAUUAGCGGAUGACUUGUGGCUGGGGGUGAAAGGCCAAUCAAACCGGGAGAUAGCUGGUUCUCCCCGAAAGCUAUUUAGGUAGCGCCUCGUGAACUCAUCUUCGGGGGUAGAGCACUGUUUCGGCUAGGGGGUCAUCCCGACUUACCAACCCGAUGCAAACUACGAAUACCGAAGAAUGUUAUCACGGGAGACACACGGCGGGUGCUAACGUCCGUCGUGAAGAGGGAAACAACCCAGACCGCCAGCUAAGGUCCCAAAGUCAUGGUUAAGUGGGAAACGAUGUGGGAAGGCACAGACAGCCAGGAUGUUGGCUUAGAAGCAGCCAUCAUUUAAAGAAAGCGUAAUAGCUCACUGGUCGAGUCGGCCUGCGCGGAAGAUGUAACGGGGCUAAACCAUGCACCGAAGCUGCGGCAGCGACACUAUGUGUUGUUGGGUAGGGGAGCGUUCUGUAAGCCUGCGAAGGUGACCUGUGAGGGUUGCUGGAGGUAUCAGAAGUGCGAAUGCUGACAUAAGUAACGAUAAAGCGGGUGAAAAGCCCGCUCGCCGGAAGACCAAGGGUUCCUGUCCAACGUUAAUCGGGGCAGGGUGAGUCGACCCCUAAGGCGAGGCCGAAAGGCGUAGUCGAUGGGAAACAGGUUAAUAUUCCUGUACUUGGUGUUACUGCGAAGGGGGGACGGAGAAGGCUAUGUUAGCCGGGCGACGGUUGUCCCGGUUUAAGCAUGUAGGCUGGUUAUCCAGGCAAAUCCGGAUAAUCAAGGCUGAGGUGUGAUGACGAGGCACUACGGUGCUGAAGUAACAAAUGCCCUGCUUCCAGGAAAAGCCUCUAAGCAUCAGGUAACAUUGAAUCGUACCCCAAACCGACACAGGUGGUCAGGUAGAGAAUACCAAGGCGCUUGAGAGAACUCGGGUGAAGGAACUAGGCAAAAUGGUGCCGUAACUUCGGGAGAAGGCACGCUGGUGUGUAGGUGAAGCCCCUGCGGGUGGAGCUGAGACCAGUCGAAGAUACCAGCUGGCUGCAACUGUUUAUUAAAAACACAGCACUGUGCAAACACGAAAGUGGACGUAUACGGUGUGACGCCUGCCCGGUGCCGGAAGGUUAAUUGAUGGGGUUAUCCGUAAGGAGAAGCUCUUGAUCGAAGCCCCGGUAAACGGCGGCCGUAACUAUAACGGUCCUAAGGUAGCGAAAUUCCUUGUCGGGUAAGUUCCGACCUGCACGAAUGGCGUAAUGAUGGCCAGGCUGUCUCCACCCGAGACUCAGUGAAAUUGAACUCGCUGUGAAGAUGCAGUGUACCCGCGGCAAGACGGAAAGACCCCGUGAACCUUUACUAUAGCUUGACACUGAACAUUGAGCCUUGAUGUGUAGGAUAGGUGGGAGGCUUUGAAGCGUGGACGCCAGUCUGCGUGGAGCCAACCUUGAAAUACCACCCUUUAAUGUUUGAUGUUCUAACGUUGGCCCCUGACCGGGGUUGCGGACAGUGUCUGGUGGGUAGUUUGACUGGGGCGGUCUCCUCCCAAAGCGUAACGGAGGAGCACGAAGGUUAGCUAAUCCUGGUCGGACAUCAGGAGGUUAGUGCAAUGGCAUAAGCUAGCUUGACUGCGAGCGUGACGGCGCGAGCAGGUGCGAAAGCAGGUCAUAGUGAUCCGGUGGUUCUGAAUGGAAGGGCCAUCGCUCAACGGAUAAAAGGUACUCCGGGGAUAACAGGCUGAUACCGCCCAAGAGUUCAUAUCGACGGCGGUGUUUGGCACCUCGAUGUCGGCUCAUCACAUCCUGGGGCUGAAGUAGGUCCCAAGGGUAUGGCUGUUCGCCAUUUAAAGUGGUACGCGAGCUGGGUUUAGAACGUCGUGAGACAGUUCGGUCCCUAUCUGCCGUGGGCGCUGGAGAAUUGAGGGGGGCUGCUCCUAGUACGAGAGGACCGGAGUGGACGCAUCACUGGUGUUCGGGUUGUCAUGCCAAUGGCACUGCCCGGUAGCUAAAUGCGGAAGAGAUAAGUGCUGAAAGCAUCUAAGCACGAAACUUGCCCCGAGAUGAGUUCUCCCUGAGACUUUAAGUCUCCUGAAGGAACGUUGAAGACGACGACGUUGAUAGGCCGGGUGUGUAAGCGCAGCGAUGCGUUGAGCUAACCGGUACUAAUGAACCGUGAGGCUUAACCUU